AGCCAGGAGGAGACUUCACAUAAGGCAGCCUGAGCUUUUGAAUGCUGCCUCCACAAGGCCAGCCAAAAAAUUGGGUUUGGCUUCCGGAGAGUGUGGGAGGCUCCCGGGGCUGGAACACGGGCAGCCUGGAAGGGGCAUCCACUGUCUUGUGCAGAAUAAGUGUCUCUCCAGGAGAUGCUAGCUGGAUCUCCAGUCCUGGCACGGAUGGGAGAAGAGAUAGUUAUUUCUAGCUGAGCAGCCCAAGCCUGCAAGAGCGAGAAAGAAAACUAACAGUCUGGAGAUGGACUCGGAAAGAGGCCGUGUGCUGACAGCUGGAGAUCCUGACAGAGGUCUGCUACAGUUCUGUGGUGUCCAUGUCUCUCCAGGCCUAUUACCCUAGCAGUGUGCUUUCCCACCACUGUAGCUGUGAGCAUCAUGAAAGAGGUCAACUGAACACGAGAUGCGGCUCAUUACACCAUGGACUUGCAUUGGUGAUACUGAAGCAUUCUGUGACUUGAGGUACCACUAAGAAGAACAAAAGCCUGAUGGUAGACUCUAGGAUGCCAUGGUCACCAAAGCAUGUUUUGACCUCAGCUCUGCUGCCAUGGGAACUGAUGUGGCCAUCACCAGGGGAGCGAACGCCUACAGCGCAUAGUCAUCUGAGGGGCUGUGAAGAAGACCAGCCAAUCUGCUUCAUGUGACUCCUAAAGCCAGGAACAGGAUUAGUGGUGUGGGUUUUGGGGCCACAGCAGCUCAAGGGAGCAAACUCUAUAGGAUCCAUUACGGUGGGCUUAUAAAUGAGCCCCAGAAUGCUGACAUUAGGCUCAGUACGGUCCAAAGAAUUACCCCUUCUUCAUCUAUAGAGAUGACCUACACUAAGGCAGGCAGGUAGAGCAGCUGCCUGCAAAGUCCUACUCAGCUUCAAGUCCCCCAGCUGAGAACUGAAAAGGGAGCUGCCCUGGGCAUCCUUUGUCCUGUUCCUGCCUGGUAAUUGACAUAGUGAAUGGUCGCUAAUGAAGAACGGAGUGGGACUUCCUGGGAAGUGACUGCAGACAGCCAGAAAGACAACUGCUAAUUACCAGUGCCAGCUGGUGGCCCUGGAGGACCAUGCAGACAGAAAAGAUGAGGGCUGGGAGGACCAGGCAGAGAGAAACUUCAGGAAAGCUGCUUUUGCUAGGGCCCUCUGCACCCAAGCACUGACUUACUCCAUGGAUGACGAAUCAAGAGGUCAAGACCAACACCAGCCAUGCUCUCUUUCCUGGUCAAGCCCGAGGAGGAGGUAUUAAACCACCAUCAUAAAUCUGCUAGUGUCCUCCAACUGACCUUGGCUGUUAGACUGGGCAGGCUUUCUUCAGUCUCAGACCCCAGCACUGAUUGCCCUUUCUGUUGCUCAUCCCCAGCUCUGACCCUGCCUGCACUGUUGGCAUUUUGAUUCAGCAACCCCUGGGAUAUGAUGUAGGGAGCAGCCCCUAACCCCUCACUGGCUCUGCGUGCGUGAAGCAGGACACCAGGAGCUUACCCCAUGGUCCUCACUUACACCAUGAUGAAGGGAACGGGAUCACGUUGAAGGGGGAGCUGUCUUAGUGAGACAUGUGAACAACGUGGCCAGUCGUUAGGCAUUCCAAAAGCCUGGUAAAGGGCAGACUGCCUCUCUGCGGGGCACUGGAGUGAAUGUCUGGUAGCUGCCUUCUUGGGUGUUUCUGCCUCAUAACUCAUCCUCCUGUAGUCUGGCGCGGUCUCUCCCCACACUGAGCAGGUCUCAGUUUCUCACACACCUGGUGCCCCGAGCGUCACACCUGUUCUUCCUCAGAUCUGUCUCCUCAUGAAUCCCUCCUCUCCCUCACCUCUGGGUCACACUGUGGGGUGUGGUCCUUCAGGGUCAAGGCCCCUGAUGGAUUGGGAUUCUGACCAGACAUACCUCUCCUAGCUACACUUGUUGUGAGCGACCCAGGACCUCCUUUCUUUCUUCCGUCUUUCCCCUCCUUCAUCUGGGCCCUGCCACUCACAGGGGUGAGCUGCUGGAGGGCAGGGAAGACUUCCGUUGUCAGAGUGGCUUGCCUGAAUCCCAGCUGCCCCUUAAUCUUAAAGAUGCUGAAAUCCUCGGCUGAAAUGGUAGCAGGAGAGCUCUGAGACUAACUCCCUUUCGCCUAUAUUGUGUGCUGGGACCAUACAAACUGACAGGUAGUAGAGCUUUGGUGGUUGGCAGUACUGGAGGCAAACAACCUACAACCCAGGGGUGGGCAGCUGGCUCUGCCUGCUGGUACUCCCUGCCCCCUUGGUAGUCUCUGCCCUGUUCCCACACAGACUUCUUGCAUGUAUCUCUCUCCAUCCUUCUUCUUUAUAGGAGAACACUAGCCAUGUGUUAAGGACUCCUUAACCCCGUGUGGCCCCACCUUAGCUAAUCUCACAGACUCUCUGUCAUACACGUUCUGGAUGUGUCUGGUGAAGGAUGCAUGCAGCCCAGCGUCCACCAUGAUGGCCUCUUAGAAUCUCAAGGUGAAGGCAUGGAACCUUCUUAUGGAAGAGAUGGGAAAUGGCUGUUCCUCCUUUUCCUUUAGAUCUUGCCCUGUGACCUGAGCCGCUUUCUCCCUGAUCCCCAUGGCUAGAUAGAUGCUGUCCUCACAGCAGAAGCCUGCUCUGCCCACCAGAGUCUAAGCAUCUGAGACACUGGAUCCUCUCCUUACCUGCAGAGAGGAGAAUGGAGCAGAAUCAAGACCCCUGAAGCCAGCACAUUCUGUGUGGCAGCUAGCCUUCCCCCCAUAAGCACGAGCAGGGCUCUGAUCCCAGAGAGACAUCACCCAUGUGCAUGUCUGCACACAUGCACACACGGUGCUCCGUGUAGCCCCGCGCUGAGUCUUCCUGCUUCGCCUCUGAGGCAGCUGAAGACUGAGGAAAGGAAAUGAGAUGGGGAAUCGCUUCUCGGGCAAUUACCCACACCUCGUAUAGUCUAAUGAGCCGUUGAGGGGCCCGGAUGGAACAUUUAGGGGGGUUAUUGAAUGUUUCCUCACAGUUUACCCAGUUCCAGGAGUUAAUUGAUUUAUGGACUGCAGGAGCAUGCGUGUCUCCGAAUAUGAGUGGGUGCCUUUUGGAUCUCUCUCUCUCUCUCUCUCUCUCUCUCUCCCUCCCCCCCCCCUCUCUCUCUCUCUCUCUCUCUCUGUGUGUGUGUGUGUGUGUGUGUGUGUGUGUGUGUGUGUGUGUGAAUUCGGGGCAUUCUGGCUAGAGGCCUGAGCUCCCUAGCUUUGGCAUCAGGCCUCCACAGCAUCUGCCUGCAUUUGCUGAGGAGAGGCCACGGAGGACGUGGCUGCACACCAAGGCAUGGGUCUGCAACCAUGCAUGCUCUCGGGACCAGGAUUCCCCUUACUGUUCCCAAAAUCCAGUUCAUCUUACCCACUCAGAUUUGUGCUAUACCUAGCACGAUAUUUUUAACUAACCUUACAUUUUUUUCUUUCAUUAGUUGUUUUAAAGCUACUACAAAAUGCUAUUGUGAAAUUGUUAUGUUUGAUAUGAUUGCUGCUCUCUUUUUCCCUUUCUUUCUGUUGAAAACAUUAUAUUUAAGUGCGUGUGGGGGGGGGGGAAGAGAGCUAGAGAGAGAGAGCUAGAGAGAGAGAGAGAGGGAGAGGGAGAGAGAGAUCAGAGACAACUUGGGAGAGUUGCUUUUCUCCUUCCACCAUGUAGGUUCCAAGGAUGGAAGUCAGCGCUUCAGUCUUGUAGCAAGUGCUCUUAGCAGCUGAGCUCUCUUAUCACCCUGCGUUCUUUUCCUGUUUGUUUUGAGACAGGAUCUCUCUUUGUUGCCCAGGCUGUCCUUCCUUUGUUGCCCAAUGGCUUCCUCUACAUUUUCCUAAUAAACAUUAAAA
rnacentral:lncRNA from 1 species